AUGAAUGGCAGUAGAUCUGCCGGGGCUGGAUUCAAAGGCUUUGGAUCUGACGCUGGUAGCUCAGUGGAAAAGUCCUCAUCAUUUCAUUUGAGACAUGGAGAAAGGAAACGUGAAGUUGAUCUUGGAGAUUCUGGUUCAAAUCGAUUUGAUGACAUUGGUCUUAGUGAAAAUGUAAUAAAAGGUACUAGAAAACCUAAUUUUAGUGGUAUGGAUGUUGAUAGUUAAUUUUUUGCUUAAGCAUUUCUCAAUUAUAAAAUUUAUUAAGUAUGUCUUAUUGACACACUUUUAAUAUUCUGGUAGAUGUACGAGUGCAAGAGGUGGCAGUGAACAUGCUGGUGAUAAUUUUGAACAUUCAGGAUUUUGUGUUUGGGCAUUUGAUAAAAAGGAAUUUGGAGGCAGGGAAUUGAUAGAAUGAGCAGCACCAUGUAUGUUGUCCUGGAUCCAUGAAUCUCAGGUCCAAUGCCCAUAAUUCAGGCAUUCUACUAACUUGCACUUGGUGAAAUUGAAAUGGAUUUCAGUUUUUAUCAUUUUUAAAAAUAACAUUUAAAUUUUCCAUUAGAGGAAGGACUUGGUUUUCUAAUUUUGAAAAUGGAGAAAGGAAGGGCAAAACUCAAUUUGUUGUUGGAGAUUCUGGUUCAAAUUUAAUGGCUAUAUUAGUAAAGACUUUGAUGGAAAUAGAGUAGGUGGUCCUGGAGGCUCUAGCUCUAGUGCUUGAUGGUUGAUUUCUGUGCAUAGAAAAAUUCUGAAUCAUGCUAUGCAUUAAAAAUAAUUCUUGUGACCAUUAUUUUGAUUUUUAAAGAAGAUUUUAUUUAUUUAUUUGAGAGAGUAAGUACAUGAGCAGGGGAAGGGCAGAGGGACAGCACACUGCCUGCUGAGCAGGGAGCCCAAUGCAGAGCUUGAUCUCAGGACCCUGGGAUCAUGACUUGAGCUGAAGGCAGACAACCAACUGUGCCCCUGUGACCAUCAUUUUGUAUUCAGCAGGUGACUCAAGUGCAAGAAAUGGGGAUGGAUAUUCUGGUGGUACCUCUGAAGAGUCAGGAUUAAAUUGGGGGUCAUCUGAUCAGCAGGGAUUUGGAAUCAGUGAAAAUGGUGGGAAUGGAGAGAGUAGCAGUGGAUUCAUGGGGGCUGGAUACUUGAGUCCUAGUUGUGAUGUCAGUGGUUCAGGUAUCUAACCUGGACUCUAUUCCCAAGAAUUCCAAAUUAAUUUCUUCCUUCUUCAUUUCUUUUAAUCACAUUUUGAUUUUCCAUUAGGAGAAAACGCUUGGUCUUCUGGUUCUGGAAGUGGUGGAGGAAGGAAGGGUGCAGUUGGACUUGGUGGUGCUUCUGGACCAAACGAAUUUGAUGAAACUGGUCUUAGUGGUACAGGUACCUGUGAUACUGGAAAGGAUAUUACUGGAUCUGGCUCUCAAGACUUGAGAAUUAAGAUUUGUGUCUGAUGAUUAGAAAGUCAGGAUUCUAAAAUACAUUAUAAAAUAACAAUGAAAAUCACAAACAUUUAUAAUGAAAUAGAAAGCAAACUAAAAUUCUGAAAUGAUAAACUACAUGUGAUCAGGGAAAAGUCAUUUAAUAUUUUUAGCAUAGAAUGUGGAAUGAAUUUUACAACUCUGAUUAUACUGAUAUGGAAUUGUUUAUGUUGUGCAAAAUUGAUUUGGAGUUGCAUUAGUUGAAGAGGUGGUUAGAGUAGCAGAUAAUCUGUUGGGUUUGAGCUUUGUAUUCUGAGUCUGGUCUUGGUAGUUUACAUUUUUUACAUGUUUAUUACUGACAAGAGUAAGGAACUUCCAUCCCUUUUGAAAAUCUCAUAAAAUUUAAUAUUUCCAGUUAAUGGAAAUAUUAGAUUGAAUAGGAAUUUGUGGUAUAUAUUGUUAAAAUAAUAUUUACCAAGGUAUGGAAACUAUUUUGAUUUUGCUAGCAGUAUUGGAAAGCCUUGGGAGCCACUAGACUAGAUGACCACAGAACUGUGGCAGUAGACUUCUAAUGACAUGGGUGAUGUGAAGAAUAUUCAGAAUUCACAUUUAGAACUCAACUUUAGGAUUGAUACAUUUUUAAAAGGAAAAGUCUAAUUAGCAAGAGAUAUAAGGUAGUGUAGUAAUAGUUGAUCUCAGUCAGGAUUAACUAUCAAUGAAUCUGCUCAAAAAAAGAUUUGGUCAUACAGAAAUAAUUCCAUUUUGGGUAGUUCUUAAUCUUUGGACCUCAGUUUUGAGGUCAAUACUGCAAUGGAAUUGAGAAAUUUGAAAUCAUUAUUUAUACCAUCAAUUUUGUUUAAACGCAGUCAAUAUAAAUGGUUUAAGAGACUGAAUAUCUAAACCCCAGAUCUGCUGCCAUUAGUUCAGGUAUUCAAAUUUAGGAUGUGUUCCUGAGAGAUGUAUUAAGAAGUAGUUGCCUCUCAUCUUUUUAUUGUGGAGUAGUUAAUUUGAGAUUUUUCUGCUGUUUGGAUGCCAGCUUUUGACUGCUUUAAUUUUUUAACUGAGACAGAUUUUUAUUAAUUAGUGUCCUUUCAGAUAGUAUAUCUAAUUGCAGUGCAUCUAGUGGCUUUGAAAUGGCAAGUUCUAAAUCUGUUGACAUUAUUGUCUCUUGACAUUAGACACGUGAUGAACAUCUCAGCUCAACUAGAUUAGUGGCUUUCAUACUUCCAGUUUUUGUGUGUGCAAAAUCCUUUGUUCAGUUGACAUCUUGAAAUGGUAUCUAGAUUUUGCAAAUGUAAAGCAAUUCAAAAUGGAAGUAAGUGGGGUUAAAACUGGGAUGGGAGACCCUGAAUCCUGUUUACACAAACCUUUCUUGCUUCCUGAAUACAUUUUAAGGCAAUUGAUCUGAAAUAAAUUAAUUUGGUAUCAGUUCA
rnacentral:lncRNA from 12 species